CAGCACUAACGCACCGGAUCCCAUCAGAACUCCGAAGUGAAGCGUGCUUGGGCGAGAGUAGUAGUACUAGGAUGGGUGACCCCUGGGAAGUCCUCGUGUUGCAUCCC
rnacentral:rRNA from 1 species